AGCGAACGCUGGCGGCAGGCUUAACACAUGCGAGUCGAACGGGCAUAGCAAUAUGUCAGUGGCAGACGGGUGAGUAACGCGUGGGAACGUACCUUUUGGUUCGGAACAACACAGGGAAACUUGUGCUAAUACCGGAUAAGCCCUUACGGGGAAAGAUUUAUCGCCGAAAGAUCGGCCCGCGUCUGAUUAGCUAGUUGGUAGGGUAAUGGCCUACCAAGGCGACGAUCAGUAGCUGGUCUGAGAGGAUGAUCAGCCACAUUGGGACUGAGACACGGCCCAAACUCCUACGGGAGGCAGCAGUGGGGAAUAUUGGACAAUGGGCGAAAGCCUGAUCCAGCCAUGCCGCGUGAGUGAUGAAGGCCCUAGGGUUGUAAAGCUCUUUUGUGCGGGAAGAUAAUGACGGUACCGCAAGAAUAAGCCCCGGCUAACUUCGUG
rnacentral:rRNA from 1 species